GACGAACGCUAGCGGCGUGCCUAAUACAUGCAAGUCGAGCGGACGAACCGAAAGCUUGUGUUUUUUUCGUUAGCGGCGGACGGGUGAGUAACACGUGGGCAACCUGCUCUGUAUACGGGGAUAAUACCGAGAAAUCGGUGCUAAUACCGGAUAAUACGAAAUACCGCAUGACGUUUCGUUGAAAGACGGCGCAAGCUGUUGCUACAGGAUGUGCCCGCGGCGCAUUAGCUAGUUGGUGAGGUAAAGGCUCACCAAGGCGACGAUGCGUAGCGGACCUGAGAGGGUGAUCGGCCACACUGGAACUGAGACACGGCCCAGACUCCUACGGGAGGCAGCAGUAAGGAAUCUUCCGCAAUGGGCGAAAGUCUGACGGAGCAACGCCGCGUGAGCGAAGAAGGCCUUCGGGUCGUAAAGCUCUGUUGUUAGGGAAGAACAAGUGACGCAGUAACUGGCGUUACCGUGACGGUACCUAACGAGAAAGCAACGGCUAACUACGUG
rnacentral:rRNA from 1 species